rnacentral:rRNA from 1 species
GAUGAACGCUGGCGGCGUGCCUAACACAUGCAAGUCGAGCGAAGCGCUUAAAUUAGAUUUCUUCGGAAUGACGAUUUUUGUGACUGAGCGGCGGACGGGUGAGUAACGCGUGGGUAACCUGCCUCAUACAGGGGGAUAACAGUUAGAAAUGACUGCUAAUACCGCAUAAGACCCCAGCUUCGCAUGAAGCGGUGGUAAAAACUCCGGUGGUAUGAGAUGGACCCGCGUCUGAUUAGCUAGUUGGUAAGGUAACGGCUUACCAAGGCGACGAUCAGUAGCCGACCUGAGAGGGUGACCGGCCACAUUGGGACUGAGACACGGUCCAGACUCCUACGGGAGGCAGCAGUGGGGAAUAUUGCACAAUGGGGGAAACCCUGAUGCAGCGACGCCGCGUGAAGGAUGAAGUAUUUCGGUAUGUAAACUUCUAUCAGCAGGGAAGAAAGUGACGGUACCCGACUAAGAAGCCCCGGCUAACUACGUG